GAUUACAGCCAUACCACGUUGAAAGCACGACAUCCCGUUCGAUCUGUUGAGUUAAGCAGCGUUAGGCCUCGCUGGUUCUUGGAUCG
rnacentral:rRNA from 1 species